GGUGAUUCUAUGCAAGCGGGCGGGUUAAUACGGUGGUUGCAAGCGUGACUCGGAAUGACUGGUCGUAAAGAGCGUGUAGGCUGAUUGAUAAGUUUGAAGUUAAAUCCUAUAGCUUAACUAUAGACCUUCUUUGAAGACUGUUACUCUAGACUGUGGGAGAGGUAGAUGGAAUUUCUGGUGUAGGGGUAAAAUCCGUAGAGAUCAGAAGGAAUACCGAUUGCGAAGGCGAUCUACUGGAACAAUAUUGACGCUGAGACGCGAAAGCGUGGGGAGCAAACAGGAUUAGAUACCCGGGUAGUC
rnacentral:rRNA from 1 species